rnacentral:sRNA from 1 species
GAGUUAUGCUGGAGAUAACUUUGUUAGGUACACAGGAGAUACCAUUUCAAUGGCUCAGACACAGUGUAAGUGUUUCCUCUAUGUCAAGGCAUUUUAUAUCAGCUCAUAAGACGUUUGGAUUGUUUAAAGCUUGUUUUCAAGAAGCAUACAGUAAUGCAGCUGCCAACUUAUUAAGAUGUUUUGAAUUACUCUAGUGUUUGCAUGGGAAGCCUAUGACAAGGGAUCUGAAGUGCAUCUACAGGCAGAUCCUACAAAGCUAGAGCUGUUGUAUAAGUCCUUCAAAGUCAAAAAAGAAGAUUUCAAAGAACAGCAGAAAGAAAGCAUCCUAGAAAAGUAUGGUGGCCAAGAACAUUUGGAUGCCCCUCCAGCUGAAUUGCUUUUAGCCCAGACUGAAGACUAUGUGGAGUACUCAAGACAUGGGACAGUCAUCAAAGGACAGGAGCGGGCUGUUGCCUGCUCUAAGUAUGAGGAGGAUGUGAAGAUCCACAAUCACACAGUAUGUGCUAAACUGGAACAGUUUUGUGUCCUUGUUGGUUUUGCUCUGUAUUGCUUUUUUCCACUACAACUUUAUUAGCUAACCAUUUGUAUGCUCUAUGCUU